AGAGUUUGAUUAUGGCUCAGAUUGAACGCUGGCGGCAGGCUUAACACAUGCAAGUCGAGCGGAGUGAUGGUGCUUGCACUAUCACUUAGCGGCGGACGGGUGAGUAAUGCUUAGGAAUCUGCCUAUUAGUGGGGGACAACAUUUCGAAAGGAAUGCUAAUACCGCAUACGUCCUACGGGAGAAAGCAGGGGAUCUUCGGACCUUGCGCUAAUAGAUGAGCCUAAGUCGGAUUAGCUAGUUGGUGGGGUAAAGGCCUACCAAGGCGACGAUCUGUAGCGGGUCUGAGAGGAUGAUCCGCCACACUGGGACUGAGACACGGCCCAGACUCCUACGGGAGGCAGCAGUGGGGAAUAUUGGACAAUGGGCGCAAGCCUGAUCCAGCCAUGCCGCGUGUGUGAAGAAGGCCUUAUGGUUGUAAAGCACUUUAAGCGAGGAGGAGGCUACUGAAGUUAAUACCUUCAGAUAGUGGACGUUACUCGCAGAAUAAGCACCGGCUAACUCUGUGCCAGCAGCCGCGGUAAUACAGAGGGUGCAAGCGUUAAUCGGAUUUACUGGGCGUAAAGCGCGCGUAGGCGGCUAAUUAAGUCAAAUGUGAAAUCCCCGAGCUUAACUUGGGAAUUGCAUUCGAUACUGGUUAGCUAGAGUGUGGGAGAGGAUGGUAGAAUUCCAGGUGUAGCGGUGAAAUGCGUAGAGAUCUGGAGGAAUACCGAUGGCGAAGGCAGCCAUCUGGCCUAACACUGACGCUGAGGUGCGAAAGCAUGGGGAGCAAACAGGAUUAGAUACCCUGGUAGUCCAUGCCGUAAACGAUGUCUACUAGCCGUUGGGGCCUUUGAGGCUUUAGUGGCGCAGCUAACGCGAUAAGUAGACCGCCUGGGGAGUACGGUCGCAAGACUAAAACUCAAAUGAAUUGACGGGGGCCCGCACAAGCGGUGGAGCAUGUGGUUUAAUUCGAUGCAACGCGAAGAACCUUACCUGGCCUUGACAUAGUAAGAACUUUCCAGAGAUGGAUUGGUGCCUUCGGGAACUUACAUACAGGUGCUGCAUGGCUGUCGUCAGCUCGUGUCGUGAGAUGUUGGGUUAAGUCCCGCAACGAGCGCAACCCUUUUCCUUAUUUGCCAGCGAGUAAUGUCGGGAACUUUAAGGAUACUGCCAGUGACAAACUGGAGGAAGGCGGGGACGACGUCAAGUCAUCAUGGCCCUUACGGCCAGGGCUACACACGUGCUACAAUGGUCGGUACAAAGGGUUGCUACCUAGCGAUAGGAUGCUAAUCUCAAAAAGCCGAUCGUAGUCCGGAUUGGAGUCUGCAACUCGACUCCAUGAAGUCGGAAUCGCUAGUAAUCGCGGAUCAGAAUGCCGCGGUGAAUACGUUCACGGGCCUUGUACACACCGCCCGUCACACCAUGGGAGUUUGUUGCACCAGAAGUAGGUAGUCUAACCGCAAGGGGGACGCUUACCACGGUGUGGCCGAUGACUGGGGUGAAGUCGUAACAAGGUAACCGUA
rnacentral:rRNA from 1 species